rnacentral:lncRNA from 1 species
UUUGGAAUUCCGAGUCCAUGCAUUUUGGCAUAUACGCAUUGCAUUAGGGUGCCUGGCACGCGAGUCAUGUUUGAUUUGAGUUUAUGAUUGAGUGAUUCGAAUUUUGAUUUAUCGUGAUAACUGAGAUGAAGGUGUUAAGUGUUAUGUGUUGUUUAUUGUGUGUAAGUAUGAUGGUUAUCGAACCUUUGUGUGUCGUAGUAAUCGCGUAGGAAUUGCUAAGUGUUAGGUUGUGGACUUGAUUAGGAAUGACUUAGGUUAAUUCAUGAAUUUUUGGAAAACUGAUCAGGGAAAUCGAUUUCCCAAUCGAUUGGAUGGAAG